UACGGGGGGGGGCAAGCGUUGUCCGGAAUCAUUGGGCGUAAAGCGCGUGUAGGCGGCCCGAUAAGUCCGCUGUGAAAGUCCAGGGCUCAACCCUGGGAUGCCGGUGGAUACUGUCGGGCUCGAGUCCGGAAGAGGCGAGUGGAAUUCCGUGGUGUAGCGGUGAAAUGCGCAGAUAUCAGGAGGAACACCAAUGGCGAAGGCAGCUCGCUGGGACGUGACUGACGCUGAGGCGCGAAAGCCAGGGGAGCAAACGGG
rnacentral:rRNA from 1 species